UAUUGCUCUUUAACGAGGAAUCCCUAGUAAGCACAAGUCAUCAGCUUGUGCUGAUUACGUCCCUGCCCUUUGUACACACCGCCCGUCGCUACUACCGAUUGAAUGGCUUAGUGAGGCCCUCGGAUCGGCGCUCGGAGACUGGCAACAGUUUCCGUUUGUUGAGAAGUUGGUCAACCUUGGUCAUUUAGAGGAAGUAAAAGUCGUAACAAGGUUUCCGUAGGUGAACCUGCGGAAGGAUCAUUAUUAUUUGGGUCGGGUUUACUUCUCAGUUGCUGUCCUUAGUGUCCUAGUAUAUUUAAGAAGUAAACUUUUACCAAAUAAUCCUAUAUUUCUCCUAUAGGAGCAAGAUAAACUUAUAUUUAAAACCCACACUUGAAUGUAUUUUAUAUAUUUUUUGAAUGAUAAAAUUAAAGAUCACUUUCAACAACGGAUCUCUUGGCUCUCGCAUCGAUGAAGAACGUAGCGAAGUGCGAUAAGUAAUGUGAAUUGCAGAAUUCCGUGAAUCAUCGAAUCUUUGAACGCAAAUUGCACACUCUGGUAUUCCGGAGAGUAUGCCUGUUUGAGGGUCAGUCUAAUAAAAAUCGGGGUUGUUGCUGCCUUUGGUAGUGACGCUUCGGAAUUGGGUAGUCUUUACCUCUGGUUUAAGUGACCUAAAAUUUUGUAUGAUUUUUCGAACGUAUUUAAUUUUUUUUACAUACGUUUGUGAUAUCGGAUACUAGAUGUGGUCAUUUCCAUGAUUCGCGUCUAUAAUUUUUCAUCAAAUGACCUCAAAUCAGGUAAGAGUACCCGCUGAACUUAAGCAUAUCAAUAAGCGGAGGAAAAGAAAAUAACCAUGAUUCCCUUAGUAACGGCGAGUGAAGGGGGAUAAGCUCAAAUUUUAAAUCUGACUAGGUUUUACCUAUCAGAGUUGUAUUUUGAAGAAGCGUUUUCCGCGUCUCGGUUGGCCCAAGUCCUUUGGGAUAAGGCAUCAUGGAGGGUGAGAAUCCCGUUCGGUUGACCUUAUGACGUUUUACGAUACGCUUUCAAAGAGUCGAGUUGUUUGGGAUUGCAGCUCAAAAUGGGAGGUAAAUUUCUCCUAAGGCUAAAUAUAAGCGAGAGACCGAUAGCGAACAAGUACCGUGAGGGAAAGAUGAAAAGAACUUUGAAAAGAGAGUUAAAUAGUAUGUGAAAUUGUUGAAAGGGAAACGAUUGAAGUCAGUCAUGUCGGCGAGAAUCAACUUGGAAUAACUUCAAAGUGCAUUUCUUUGCUUGGCAGGUUAGCGUCGAUUUUGAACGUCAUAAAAUGAUUGGGGGAAGGUAGCUCUUUCGAGAGUGUUAUAGCUCUUGGUUAAUGUGAUGUUUGGGAUCGAGGUUUGCAACGGAUACCUUUUAGGUUAGCCGCCUGGCCUCUGAUUCGAUGUCGGAUUAUAGACAGCAUGUUGACUAUGAUCUGAUUAUUGGUCAAAAGGUUAGAGCGAGCAUAAAUUCGUUAAGGACGCUGACGUAAUGGCUUUAAACGACCCGUCUUGAAACACGGACCAAGGAGUCUAACAUAUAUGCGAGUGUUA
rnacentral:rRNA from 1 species